GUGAGGAAUUUUCCGCAAUGGGCGAAAGCCUGACGGAGCAAUGCCGCGUGAAGGAUGAAGGCCUAUGGGUUGUAAACUUCUUUUCUUAGAGAAGAAUAUUGACGGUAUCUGAGGAAUAAGCACCGGCUAACUACGUGCCAGCAGCCGCGGUAAUACGUAGGGUGCAAGCGUUAAUCGGAAUUACUGGGCGUAAAGCGUGCGCAGGCGGCUUUGUAAGACGGAUGUGAAAGCCCCGGGCUCAACCUGGGAAGUGCAUUCGUGACUGCAAGGCUAGAGUGUGUCAGAGGGAGGUGGAAUUCCGCGUGUAGCAGUGAAAUGCGUAGAGAUGCGGAGGAACACCGAUGGCGAAGGCAGCCUCCUGGGAUAACACUGACGCUCAGGCACGAAAGCGUGGGGAGCAAACAGGAUUAGAAACCCGAGUAGUCC
rnacentral:rRNA from 1 species